rnacentral:lncRNA from 1 species
AGGAGCCCUUGCAAGAACGUGCGCUGCACCGCGGCCUGUCACAAAGAACACUUCAAGGGUGGGUACUGCUCCAGUAAGAAGUCAAUUGUUGGCGAUGACCUCAACGAAGACAACGAGGAGAACUUCUAUAAGAAACGUCCUAAGAAAAAGACGUGCAUGUGUACAUAUGAAUGCAGUAAAGCCCCGCCACCACCGUCAGAACCUGAUGUGCCAGAGCCACCGGGUGAACCCGUGGUGCCGGAUCCUCAGAAGAAGCCGCCACCGCCAUAUGAACGUGACGUGCCGGAGCCGCCCUUGGGAGAACACAAGAAGAAGAAGAAGCCGCCAGCUGCCGACCAGUGAGCAAAUGGUCUAUUCCACCCGCCUGAGGAAAAUGAUUUUAAUAAGAGAGGAAUUAUUCAAUGCUUGACUUGUACUCAUGCAUAAAUGAUUGCGUGAGAAUAAUAAUAAUAAUAAUCUGGGUACUGUUAAAGGGAGUAUGGCGUUGUGAUAGUUCCACCUUCUCCCACCCUUCCUACAUUUCCAUGCAGCCAACACCGAUCUUUUUUCUCUCAUACGAGCCCACGCAUCCAAUGAGCCAACACGAAAAGGAAAAAAAGAUCCCAUGACCCACGAACACAUGUCCACACGCCUCAUCUCCCUGACCACGCCCCUCCCGAUCACAUCUUUUUUAAACGCUAUGGAGUCUCUAUCUCUACAUACGACUAGUAGAAUGCUCAUGCGUUGUCAUGGGCAUUUGAAAUAUUUUACUGGAGUUAUACCUAAAACAUAAUGCACGUUAAACUUCAUAGAAAAGAUAGACAGUAAAAGUUGGGUAGAAAUUGAAAUUCACUUCACUUACAAUGUACUCCCAAAUGUAGGAUCACUUUUUGACACUAUCAUAAUGUCAACAAUGAUCUUAUAAUUUGGGACGGAGGUAGUGGGUUGAUAAAAAAAAGGCAAUUUUAAGAUGUGUACCUAGAGCGAUGAUAUAACUAUAAUACGUUAUGAAUUAAGAUCUACUUGAUGCACUUAAGAUAUUCUCGCUCAAUAUAAAAAUGUUGUCUUUAGCUUGAUUCACACGAUAUUUAAGCAAAUAUAAUAAAAACAUCUUCCUCAACUAUCCAUCACAAGCAGUAUAUGUAGUCAACACAAAUAGUUUACAUGGAAGGUCUAAAAUUUUGCAGCAAAGAAUACCCACCGUGCAAACUAGACGAACCAAUUCUGUACCGUUCAACGAGAACAUAAUCAAAAACAAAGUAGCUAGACACAUCCCUGCAAUUGAAUAAUUAAGAUUAUCUUCAAUAUGGUGAUAAAAAUGAUUGUAUCUUGAAUAUUAUCAUAAUGAAAUAUAUAAAUUUGCUCAUCCAUGGGAAAAUUAAACACAUAUAGAAGUACAUCUUUCGAGUAUUAUAUCAUGUGCAACAAACAUACAAAGAAGAAUAAUUAUUUACAUGCACCUCUUCUGAUUGCGUAAAACUCGUUGAUUUUUCAGUCCGGUCCAUCAUCAUUACGUCAAUGACUAUAUCACUCGAUAUUUUCAAAGCAUCAUCCAAAUCCACCAGUUUCUAUAUGACCAACAAAAAAGGGAAAUAUAAAAAUAUAUUAGGAAAAGUAUAUAUAAAAAAUCAUGUAUGUAAAACAUAUAUUCAUUGGUCGGCUGCUAGAAAUGAACGGUGCCUGUUUUUAACUAACUGGGUGACAUAAUGUUUUUUAGUAGAUUGAGUGGCAUCCCAUUUUUAAUAAAUUGUAGGCUCAUCUAUAAAUCACUAUUUUAUGAUUAUUCUUGGGAAUUUACUAUUUAGGCAUGUGAUAUUCUAGGAGAAAAAAUAUGUUACAUUUCUCUAGAGUAAACAAUCGAUUUUCCCACCAUAUUAGGAAGAACAACCGAUUUUUCUAAAAAUCAAACACAGCCAGCCUUUCCCUUCCUUUGUAGAAGUAUAUUUUAUAAAGCAAAAACAACUCACCCCCUCACUCUCUCACGCACGGGCACAAGNNNNNNNNNNCAGUCUCAGUCGACUGAGAUCUAACCACAUUUUUUUAUUUACCGAAACAUAUGCAUAUGCGUUUUGCAUUAGAGAUGGUCUUAACAUAAUUUGUUUUCCACGACGAGUUCUCUCACAUAUUUUUUUUUCAUGUAAGCAACUAUGAGUUGCCAAGUAUUAUUUGUGUUUUGCUCUUACACUGCCACCAAUGUAAUUGCACCAAGAGCCAGUAGAAGGUUUCUUUGGCCGGGUAGCACAAGCUUUUAUUUAGACACACAUGAUUAAUUACUGGAGAUAGAUACUAUACACAAAUGCUUGUAUCCAAUAUUUGGAUUUCCAUAUCCUCUAAGACAUUACACAAAUGCUUCUAUCCAAUAUUUGGAUUUUCAUAUCCUCUAAAACAUUACACAAAUGCUUGUAUCCAAUAUUUGAAUUUUCGUAUCCUCUAAGGCAUUACACAAAUGCUUGUAUCCAAUAUUUGGAUUUUCGUAUCCUCUAAGACAUUACACAAAUGCUUGUUUCCAAUAUUUGGAUUUCCAUGUCCUCUAAGGCAUUGAAUGGAUAGCCAAGAGGAAUGCAAUAAAUAGCACUCAAACCCCAUUCUUCUCCUCACACAUCCUUUCCAACAACUUAUUUUGAGCACUUGGCCAUGGCGUUCAGCGGCGCCCAGAUGCUCGCUGCCUUCACCAUGGGCUUUCUACUCAUGGCCUUCUCUAAGUUCAUAUAGCAGAUUUUAUCGCAUUGCAAUUCCAUGCAAUUUUAGAUCAAUCGAUGAAAUAACUGCUACUAUAAUUUUCUGGUGCACACAUUAAUUCUAUGUCACAUGCAGGUGUGGAGGCUCGGGUAUGCAUGUCCCCUAGCAAGUCGUACAAAAGGAGCCCUUGCAAGAACGUGCGCUGCACCGCGGCCUGUCACAAAGAACACUUCAAGGGUGGGUACUGCUCCAGUAAGAAGUCAAUUGUUGGCGAUGACCUCAACGAAGACAACGAGGAGAACUUCUAUAAGAAACGUCCUAAGAAAAAGACGUGCAUGUGUACAUAUGAAUGCAGUAAAGCCCCGCCACCACCGUCAGAACCUGAUGUGCCAGAGCCACCGGGUGAACCCGUGGUGCCGGAUCCUCAGAAGAAGCCGCCACCGCCAUAUGAACGUGACGUGCCGGAGCCGCCCUUGGGAGAACACAAGAAGAAGAAGAAGCCGCCAGCUGCCGACCAGUGAGCAAAUGGUCUAUUCCACCCGCCUGAGGAAAAUGAUUUUAAUAAGAGAGGAAUUAUUCAAUGCUUGACUUGUACUCAUGCAUAAAUGAUUGCGUGAGAAUAAUAAUAAUAAUAAUCUGGGUACUGUUAAAGGGAGUAUGGCGUUGUGAUAGUUCCACCUUCUCCCACCCUUCCUACAUUUCCAUGCAGCCAAC